AGUAUUUUGUGUAGAUGAUGUUUUCUUAAGAUGAUGUUUAGCCAUUUUGUGUGGAGCAAUAUUGCAGUAGUUUUUGUGAAGAUGAUGUAUGUUUGUUCUGAUUUAACUAGAAAAAAAAUUGUAGGUUACAGCCUACACAGGAGUUUUACGCUCUAGAGAGUUUAUGUAUCAUGGCCCUAAUUAUAUUUAGUACAUUUAUCAUUUUUCUUUUUGUAUUGAAA